rnacentral:rRNA from 1 species
AGAGAUGUGUGAUGACGCAUAUCAAUAAGCGGAGGAAAAGAAACUAACAAGGAUUCCCUUAGUAACGGCGAGUGAAGCGGGAAGAGCUCAAAUUUGAAAUCUUCAAGGGUUCUACCUUGACGAAUUGUAGUUUAUAAGAAGUGUUUUCUGUUAGUAGAGGUGGCUAAAAGUUCUUUGGAAUAGGACAUCAUAGAGGGUGAGAAUCCCGUAUUUGAUCAUUCCUUCCUAGCUUUGUGAUACACUUUCAACGAGUCGGAUUGUUUAGGGAAUGCAGUCCAAAAUGGGUGGUAAAUUUCAUCUAAAGCUAAAUAUUGGCGAGAGACCGAUAGCGAACAAGUACCGUGAGGGAAAGAUAAAAGAACUUUGAAAAGAGAGUUAAACAGUACGUGAAAUUGUCAAAAGGGAAGCGUUUGACACCAGUGUUGUUUUUCCGAAAAUCAAUUACGAAUGUUUUGUUUUUAAGAAGUUAUGACCUCAUCGGCUUGCUCCUUUCUUUAUGAAACUUUCUUAAUGCACUUUUCGGUUAACAAGUCAACAUCAAUUUCUUUUGUUGUAAAAGGGUAUGAGGAAGGUGGCUUUCUUUUCGGAGAAAGUGUUUAUAGCCUUGUGCCUCUGCAAUCGGAGAGAUUGAGGUCUGCAGCGUAGAUCCUUCGGGGUUAGAUACAUUUGUGCUAAGUUAUAGCUUUUCAUAGACAACUUGUUGACUAUGUUUAGUCUUGUAGCUUACUCGCUGACGCUAUUUUACCUACGCUUAGGAUGUUGAGUAGCGACAUACGCAC